rnacentral:rRNA from 1 species
UCGGGAAUUUUGGGCAAUGGGCGAAAGCCUGACCCAGCAACGCCGCGUGAGGGAUGAAGUAUUUCGGUAUGUAAACCUCGAAAGAAUGGGAAGAAUAAAUGACGGUACCAUUUAUAAGCUCCGGCUAACUACGUGCCAGCAGCCGCGGUAAUACGUAGGGAGCAAGCGUUGUUCGGAUUUACUGGGCGUAAAGGGCGCGUAGGCGGCGCGGUAAGUCACUUGUGAAAUCUCUGAGCUUAACUCAGAACGGCCAAGUGAUACUGCUGUGCUAGAGUGCGGAAGAGGCAACCGGAAUUCUUGGUGUAGCGGCGAAAUGCGUAGAUAUCAAGAGGAACACCUGAGGCGAAGGCGGGUUGCUAGGCUGACACUGACGCUGAGGCGCGAAAGCCAGGGGAGCAAACG